CCCUUCCUGGCUCCGCCUCUCACACAUGUCCCUCCAGACCUGCGGUGAAAUGAACUGGUUCUCCCCUCUGCCUCUGCCAUGGCUCCUUUGCCCCCUAACCCUUAAAGCAGAUCUCUCUGGGCAGGGUUGGCAAUACUUGUCAUUCUUCCCAGUGACUUGGGACAAAAGCCAAAGUCUGGACUCCUUGGUGGCUCCACUCCCGCCCCCUGCAGACGUGUUGGGUGCAGUCCUGCCUCCCACCUUCGCACUGGCGGUUCCUGCUGCCCGGCACUGUCUCCCCCAGGCAUGGAGCCCUUUGCGCCUCAGCCAGCCAAGCCCAGAUCCAGCCACGUGGACGUGUGCUGAGGGCACCCAGUCGAUGCACAGUCUCCACCAAGCUGGGACAAAGGCAGAGCCAUCAGUGGCCAUGUCGGGGAGAACAGAACGCGGUGCUCUCACAUCCUGCAAAGUACAGGCCUGCGGAGCAGAUGGCAGGAACUUCAAGAGCUAAGUCACCUUGAAAGAUAAUGGCACAAAGGGCGAUUGGGGGUGGGGUGGGUGGGAGGCUUUUGUACCCUUUGACAACAAGGAAGCAGAAAAGACAAAAGCUAUUUGCCAGCCUGGUGUGGGAAUCAAUAGAAUUGAGAGAUGGUUCUGCUGCAAUUUCCAUCAAGGUGGCCAAGCCUCCUGUCUUCUUGUCCAGAAGUAAGUGGCAUCAACCAACUCUGCCAAACUGCAUUUCCCGCCUCCUGAUCUGGGGUCUUUUCUUUUUUCACACAGGGAGCAUUUCCAUCCUCUCUGUCCAGGCAGCUGAGCCCUGACAACCUCUCCUCCCCUUCACCAUGCCCCGACUGACCUCCUAAUGGAGCCCCAUCCCUCGAGCCCCUGGGCCUGUGGAAGGCAGGGUCUCCCCCUCCUCCUUGUCCUCCCCUGCUCCACUCCAGGCGGGGUUGCAAUAGGGCUUAUCUGGUUUCCUCUAAGCAUGAAGCCCUUGGCCAGAGGAGGAGCGGGAGUUCACGUCAUGCCUCCAUGCUUAGUCCUGGCCUUUAGCAUUUUUUUGUGGAUGGGUAAACUGAGGUGCAUAGUGGUCAACUCAUGCCCAGGAUCACAGAGGCACUGGCAGGGUGGCAGGAAUGCUGAAUUCACCUCUGAUGAGAGCCAGGGAUAGCAGUGGGUGGGGCGCCGGCUGCUUUUCAACUGAAGCUGUUAAAAGGAAUACUUGUUCCUGGACCCACCGGCUUGCCCUCCAAGGCAGAACAUGCUAAUCCCAAGCCCCGGCAAAGGUUCAAAUUGACUUCUUGGCUCUGAGCAGGGAGGUAGAAGUUUCUGCCCCCCCCUCCCCACCCCCCUGCUCCGCCCCAGGCUCGAGGCUCCAGGGGCUGCCCGGCCCCUCUCGCCUGGCCUAGAAACAAUCCCCUCCCGCCACCCCCACGCAGGUGCUGUCAGGACAGGCCCUCUGCCCUCAAACAUCUGCUCCUCUCCUUGGGGAGGGGGGGGGCCUCAGCUGCCCGCUGAAGGGGCCAGGCCUCAGAAGCCUGUUCUCCUUUGAAGCUGACAGCUUGAUGCCUGUGGAAAUGCGGUCCUAUUUCUGGAUUUCAUUUUAAAGAGGUUUCAAAGGAGUGGCUGGAAGGCUUGGUGGAAUCGCUUAUUACGGCUCCUCUCCCGGCCCGCGGCUUGGUGGCUGAGCACGUCAUCAUCAUUGGCAGGCAGGUGACUGUUCUAAAUUAGCACCUGGCUCAUGCUGGAGGGCUCUAACUCUUCCCGAGCUUUUUCCAAGAACAAUUUUCAUGACUUAUACCUUCUUAUACCUUUCCCACAUUAUCUGUUUGAAAUGAUCCACGGGGCAGGUGAAAUAUGUGUCGUCUCCAAGACUCGUUUCUGUUGGGCAUGUCUUAAAGACACACACAUGCAAAGGCUAUGAAAAUGCGACCCCCCAGACCUGGGAGGCUGCAGCCCGUGGAGCCUCAGGGGCAAAGGGAGCAAACCGGCUUGCGAGGGAGCUGCUCUGGUCAGCGGCUGUUGUGGGAUGGGGAGGGAACAGGGUGGCCCAAGGGGGCAGGGGCCUGGCGCCAUGUCUGCUCACGUGCCACCCUCCUUGUCUCUGGGAUCUGCCCCCCAAAUGCAAGAAACGCGUAAGCCCACUGUAGCAGAUACGGAGAGACUCUGGGGGAUUUUCCUUUACCUAACUUAACUACUCUGCACCUCUGCAGGGGAGAGCAUUAUGGUUUGGAAGAAAUGGAAACAAGGGCAUGGAAGUCCCAUGUGGGCAGAGCCUGCACACCAAGAUUGGAGUGCUGAGUCUUCUAGACUGCAAAGGGUUUGACUCAGCCCAAAGAGGACUCUGCCAGGAAGCUGUCAGGCACCUGAGGCCACCUGCCUCUCCUCUGCUUCAGGAAUAACCGUCAGUACUGCAUCUUGGCUCUGAGGGGCACUGGGCAUCACGAUGCCCACUCAAAGCAGCUAAGGCAUGGUGAUCUCUGCAUCUCCAUACAGAUGUCCGAGGAAAUGAUCCCAUAGCCUCGUCUCUGUUUCAGAGGCAGAGUCCACCUCAAUCUAGCCCAUUGCUCUCCACCAGACAGAGCGCACCUCCUGGCCACUAGGUAAGACAAUGCCCGGAGAGAAACUCCAUUGCUAGGGCAUUGGCAAAAGAUUUGCCAGACCCUGACACCUGACUCGACCUUGCUCUCCUCCAAUCUGUGCCUCCGACUGCACCCACCCAAGAGAGUGAAGACCAAAGUGCUUCUACCAAGAGGGUACAGGUUCCUAGCCUGGCUCUAUUUUUCAGAGGGAAGCAUUGUUUCUGCAGGGACAUGCCUGUUCACUUCCAUGGCACUGCUGACUUGUGCUCACCCUAUGACGCCUCACCCAGAGCACAGGAGUGUUCACCCCACACGAGCAGGGACCACAGGUCUAGCCCUAAAACAACUGCUUGCCUGGCUAUAAGAGGAGACUUGCCUUUUUUUUUUUUGUAGAUUCCAGAAGAUGCAGGAUUUUUCCUAAGGCAGGAGAAAACCCUAGUUCAUAGACAGCCAGGAUAAAAACCCUGGAAGACCAUCAGCCAAGGUGAACGAAGAGGAAUUUUCUAAAUCUUGGGGAUAGAGAAUUACGUUACAUGAAGGCAGCCAUGCCAAUAAAAUGGAAGGCUAUGAAAGCAAGCAAGGCACAAGCAAACCCCAAUUCCAGAGAGAGACACAAGCGUUCUAUUUGGUGAAGAGUUUGGUGCACAGACAGACUGCAUCCUGUGAAGAGGUGGCCCUUGUCAAGGCUACUGCCGCCGGGAGGAUCUUUGCAUCUUUAGGAUGUGUCACUAGCUCAUCGAAACUAUUUUUGUAACUCUCUGCAAGAGCCAAUUUAAGCUGGCGUCUCAGUUCCCUCUGCACUCAAAAGAGACCAAUUUCCAAUUCCUCCUCAGAGUCCGUGAGACCAGAUGCUACGGCAAAUGUUCCAGAGAAAUGAACCUAGAAAAUGAUCCCGGGGCGCUCCUUGCGGGGGAACACAGGAUUCCUCAGCUCUGUCUCUGUGGCUUUAACAUACAUCAAUCAGUUUCAGGGUGAGUGCUGCCAUUGCCCCCCAAGAGUGUUUCUGAUGGGACAUGCUUUCCUGAUGAUAGCACAGGGGAUCUUGGGGGACAGAAGGUUCCCAGUAAGGCUAGGGGGCAUGUGACAGAUUGAGAGUGUGAUGUUUCCAGGUGAGACCCUAUUGCAUCUGGCAGCCCGAAUUGGGCAACAAUUCCUGCAAAUGAGAAGCCACUGCUCUUGUUAGGUAGGUCAUCGUCCCGUAAGCCCCACUCGGAGCGCUGUCAUAAAAGAAGUGGCAGA